rnacentral:rRNA from 1 species
GACGUGACUUCAGAGUUUGAUCCUGGCUCAGGAUGAACGCUGGCGGCGUGCCUAACACAUGCAAGUCGAGCGAACCCUUCGGGGUGAGCGGCGGACGGGUGAGUAACGCGUGGGUAACCUGCCCUGUACACACGGAUAACAUACCGAAAGGUAUGCUAAUACGGGAUAAAGUAUGAGAGUCGCAUGGCUUUUGUAUCAAAGCUCCGGCGGUACAGGAUGGACCCGCGUCUGAUUAGCUAGGUGGUAAGGUAACGGCUUACCAAGGCAACGAUCAGUAGCCGACCUGAGAGGGUGAUCGGCCACAUUGGAACUGAGACACGGUCCAA